UACGUAGGUGGCAAGCGUUGUCCGGAUUUACUGGGCGUAAAGAGCGCGCAGGCGGUCGUGCAAGUCGCGUGUGAAAGCCCCCGGCUCAACUGGGGAGGGUCACGCGAUACUGCUCGACUUGAAGGCAGGAGAGGGAAGUGGAAUUCCCGGUGUAGUGGUGAAAAUGCGUAGAUAUCGGGAAGAACACCCGUGGCGAAGGCGGCUCUCUGGGACGGUACUGACGCUGAGACGCGAAAGCGUGGGGAGCGAACAGG
rnacentral:rRNA from 1 species